rnacentral:ribozyme from 1 species
AAAGUUCGCAUCCGCAUUGUGGAAGAAAAGGAUUAAAAUCCAAAAAAGAAAAGGGAAAGAAAACAAUUUGAUUUUCCAUCUACUUGCAGUGUGUU